rnacentral:lncRNA from 1 species
CGCGAACUCGGAUUCCACCUGAGGAUGUCAGAUGACAAAAACCUGUGUAGUUUCCAAGAUAGGAUUUUCCUGGCCUGGGAGUCCUUUGGCGGUGCUUGGUAGAACCUGAUAAUUUAACAGCGCCCAAGAGUGUUCUUUCACCUUAUGAACGUAUGUCCUACCUCCAGGUGCUGGGAGUGCUGUGAGCAGAGAGGAAAAACAGAAUCAAGCGGAGGGCAAUAGAAUUCCAGAGCUGCAUAUCCCUUUGGACCUGAUGGAUAAAGAAAGGAGCCAUAUGCCUCUUAGUCAUAAAAAGAGAACAUUCGAAGGACCAUUCAAGCAAAUACGUCUAAGCCACUGAGAUAUUGUUAAUUGGCGAAGACAGAUGCAGAGAGGAGCUCAGACAGAAGGAGCUGAGAUUUUCUAUUCCUCAUCUGAAGGUGCCUGGGUUCCAGGAGAUCCACCCCGGAAACCUGGCCAAUUAGCUGUCGAUGUCGCUCAAGAUCAAAACACCACCUGUGAGUUUUUAUAGUCUAGCAGACACUCAUAUUUUCUAAUUAUGAUCUGUUGUUGGAGGGUGAGAGUAAUAAACCCACAUGCAGCAGAGAGGGUUGGCUGUGG